GACGAACGCUGGCGGCGUGCCUAAUACAUGCAAGUCGAACGAGAGCGACCGGUGCUUGCACUGGUCAAUCUAGUGGCGAACGGGUGAGUAACACGUGGGUAACCUGCCCAUCAGAGGGGGAUAACAUCCGGAAACGGAUGCUAAAACCGCAUAGGUCUUCGAGCCGCAUGGCUUGAAGAGGAAAAGAGGCGCAAGCUUCUGCUGAUGGAUGGACCCGCGGUGCAUUAGCUAGUUGGUGAGGUAACGGCUCACCAAGGCCGUGAUGCAUAGCCGACCUGAGAGGGUGAUCGGCCACAUUGGGACUGAGACACGGCCCAAACUCCUACGGGAGGCAGCAGUAGGGAAUCUGCCGCAAUGGACGCAAGUCUGACGGAGCAACGCCGCGUGAGUGAAGAAGGUUUUCGGAUCGUAAAACUCUGUUGUUAGAGAAGAACAAGUGCUAGAGUAACUGUUAGCGCCUUGACGGUAUCUAACCAGAAAGCCACGGCUAACUACGUG
rnacentral:rRNA from 1 species